rnacentral:rRNA from 1 species
GAUGAACGCUGGCGGCGUGCCUAAUACAUGCAAGCCGAGCGAACGGACGAGAAGCUUGCUUCUCUGAUGUUAGCGGCGGACGGGUGAGUAACACGUGGAUAACCUACCUAUAAGACUGGGAUAACUUCGGGAAACCGGAGCUAAUACCGGAUAAUAUUUUGAACCGCAUGGUUCAAAAGUGAAAGACGGUCUUGCUGUCACUUAUAGAUGGAUCCGCGCUGCAUUAGCUAGUUGGUAAGGUAACGGCUUACCAAGGCAACGAUGCAUAGCCGACCUGAGAGGGUGAUCGGCCACACUGGAACUGAGACACGGUCCAGACUCCUACGGGAGGCAGCAGUAGGGAAUCUUCCGCAAUGGGCGAAAGCCUGACGGAGCAACGCCGCGUGAGUGAUGAAGGUCCUCGGAUCGUAAAACUCUGUUAUUAGGGAAGAACAUAUGUGUAAGUAACUGUGCACAUCUUGACGGUACCUAAUCAGAAAGCCACGGCUAACUACGUG